GUUCUUGUGGUUGAGCGUGAUUGCGGGUGUGGAGUUGGGGGCAGGGCUCUCCACGGCAUGAGUGGGUAAAUGGAUAGGCUUCCAGGACGAGCCCCUGUGACUUUGCCUGGUUUACAUCCGUCCAAUACAAAUCCACAGGCUCUUACUCUAGAAGCUUCUGCAGGGCCUGAUGGACUGGCCUGGGGACAGAGGGUGCCCUCAGAGCCUCAUGGUGCCGUCUGGUUUAGGAAGAGCACUUAGUCACCUAGAUCUAGGAUUUAUGGCACUACAAGGGGACUCCUCACACUCGGAGCAGCAUCCAUCUGCAUUCUAGACUUGGUUCUAGGCAAAGUAUUUUGGAGCCUGUUGGUACCCUGUGUUCUGUUUAUGUGUAAAACAAGUUAGAGUUAUAACUAGUUAAAACCUAUUUUUAACAUUUUGUCACAGAAUAUGGCAGUUGUGGUGGAGCCUGGCCAGAGACCCCCACACUCAGACGCUGUUGCUUGCUGGAGUUGCAGGCGUUGCCUGCAUCGGCUGCCCCUCCCGGCGUGUCUGUGUUCUUGACACGGGCGCCCAUCGAGGCUCGGCCUGUGAGAAUCGUGCCACCGUUUGUCUCCGUGUUCCUCUGAGGUUCCGCAGACUUCACGGUCCCGUGGCAGAGCUGCACGGUAUCUGCUUGCAUCCUGAUUUCCCCAAACCCCAGGACAGACCAAGAGUUCCUUACACACAACUGCAGAGGGCCCCGUGGCGUGGAUUUGCAGAGACACAGCCUUUCCCCAGCUUGGCCUUCGUCUCCAGAGUUGGCUUUAGGGUGAUAGAAGCUUCCUUCAGACUGGGGGGCCUUGAAGCUUUGGUGCUAGGAAUUCGGUGACCAGCACGGAUGAUACCCCGUUUCUCUGCAUUUGUAGCAAUAGUUGUUAACACGACCACGAGAUGUACAGAGGAAGGAAAAAGGAGGUUUUAUUUUCAGAGUAACACUCUGUGCUUUGGGAAAUGUGGUCUUGGGGGAGCUGUAAGCACACGCCCCUCAGGAGGGGAGGAGGCCGCGGCAUUACACGUUCCGGGGUUUGUUGGCUGUGUGUGUUCAUCGGGAUGCAAGCAGAUACCGUACGCUCUGCCACGGGACCGUGAAGUCUGCGGAACCUCAGAGGAACACGGAGACAAACGGUGGCACGAUUCUCACAGGCCGAGCCUCGAUGGGCUCCCGUGUCAAGAACACAGACACGCCGGGAGGGGCAGCCGAUGCAGGCAACGCCUGCAACUCCAGCAAGCAACAGCGUCUGAGUGUGGGGGUCUCUGGCCAGGCUCCACCACAACUGCCAUAUUCUGUGACAAAAUGUUAAAAAUAGGUUUUAACUAGUUAUAACUCUAACUUGUUUUACACAUAAACAGAACACAGGGUACCAACAGGCUCCAAAAUACUUUGCCUAGAACCAAGUCUAGAAUGCAGAUGGAUGCUGCUCCGAGUGUGAGGAGUCCCCUUGUAGUGCCAUAAAUCCUAGAUCUAGGUGACUAAGUGCUCUUCCUAAACCAGACGGCACCAUGAGGCUCUGAGGGCACCCUCUGUCCCCAGGCCAGUCCAUCAGGCCCUGCAGAAGCUUCUAGAGUAAGAGCCUGUGGAUUUGUAUUGGACGGAUGUAAACCAGGCAAAGUCACAGGGGCUCGUCCUGGAAGCCUAUCCAUUUACCCACUCAUGCCGUGGAGAGCCCUGCCCCCAACUCCACACCCGCAAUCACGCUCAACCACAAGAAC
rnacentral:lncRNA from 1 species